AAAAUAAAUGGGCAGGAAUAUGAGUGGAGGGUCCGGGAGGUGAGGGUCCAGGGUAAGCAUUCCCAAGGCCCCUGGGAUUCCGAUGUUUACUGGAGUGGGGAGGGGAGGAGCUAGAAGGGCGGUCGUGUCUCUCUCAGCCUAGUUUCUAUGGGAAAUGAAGUAGGAGGGAACGCAGCCAGGGAAACUAGCUGGGCCAGGAGGGGUCAGACUCCUGAACAAGCGAGCUGAUCUCUCAAGCAGGAGCUGGAUCAGUGUGAGGGAGAGCGGGAUGGCGCUCCUGCCUACUCCGGACCAUCCCUGCUUGGACUGAAAGCCUGGGCUUCGGCGGGGCGGGCGGGCAGAGGGCGGAGGGCGGCCCCAGGAGGGGCCUGGCA
rnacentral:sRNA from 1 species